rnacentral:rRNA from 1 species
AAUCGAACUCGGAGAUAGCUGGUUCUCCCCGAAAUAGCUUUAGGGCUAGCCUCAUAUUAGAUACCCGGAGGUAAAGCACUGAAUGGCCUAGCGCCCGAGAGGGUAGCGAAGCCUAUCAAACUAAGAAUGCCGGAGUAUUGAUGUAUGGGAGUCAGACAGUGUGAGAUAAAUCUCAUUGUCAAAAGGGAAACAGCCCAGAUCUACAGCUAAGGUCCCAAAUUGUAUCUAAGUGGAAAACGAUGUGGAAAUACGCAGACAACCAGGAUGUUGGCUCAGAAGCAGCCACUCAUUUAAAGAGUGCGUAAUAGCUCACUGGUCGAGCGUCUCUGCGCGGAAAAUUUAACGGGGCUAAGAUACAAACCGAAGCUUAGGCUGCAUCGUAAGAUGCGGGGUAGGGGAGCGUUGUGUAAGCGGAGAAACAGUAGCGUAAGCGGCUGUGGAGUUUACAGAAGUGAGAAUGCCGGAAUGAGUAGCGCGAAUGUGGUGAGAAUCCACAUGGCCGGAAACCUCAGGUUUUUGGAGGAAGGUUCGUCCGCUCCAAGUUAGGCGGGAGCUAAGGUCAGGCCGAAAGGCGUAGCCGAUGCACAGACGGUAGAGAUUCCGUCCCCACCGAAAGAUUUAAGCACAGGGACACUUUUUGAAGGUCGGAGCCAGGUGUUGGUUCUGGUAGUGAUCGAGGGAAAUAUAGUACCGAAGUCCGGCUGGAAGAGAGGCGAGAAAAGCUGUGUGUAUAUCUAAGGUGCCCGUACCGCAAACCGACACAGGUAGGUAGGAAGAAGAUUCUAAGGCCAACGGGAGAAGGGUUGUUAAGGAACUCGGCAAGUUGACCCCGUAACUUCGGAAUAAGGGGUGCUCACGAGAGUGAGCCGCAGAGAAUAGGCCCAGGCAACUGUUUACCAAAAACACAGGUUUGUGCUAAAUCGAAAGAUGACGUAUACGAGCUGACGCCUGCCCGGUGCUGGAAGGUUAAAAGGAGAUGUGCAAGCAUUGAAUUGAAGCCCCAGUGAACGGCGGCCGUAACUAUAACGGUCCUAAGGUAGCGAAAUUCCUUGUCAGGUAAGUUCUGACCCGCAUGAAAGGCGUAAUGAUCUGGGCACUGUCUCAACAGCCCGCCCGGCGAAAUUGUAGUACCGGUGAAGAUGCCGGUUACCCGCGACAAGACGGAAAGACCCCAUGGAGCUUUACUGUAGCCUGAUAUUGGGUUUCGGUGUUGCAUGCACAGGAUAGAUGGGACACUGGGAAGGCAGUGCUUUGGCAUUGCUGGAGUGGACGUUGGGAUACCAUCCUUGCGACAUUGGAAUUCUAACCUGCGCCUCUGAAUCGAGGCGGGGGACAUUGUCAGGUGGGCAGUUUGACUGGGGCGGUCGCCUCCUAAAAAGUAGCGGAGGCGUUCAAAGGUUCGUUCGAUCUGGACGGAAACCAGAUGAUUGAGUGCAAACGCAUAAACGAGCCUGACUGCGAGACUGACGGGUCGAGCAGAGACGAAAGUCGGAGUUAGUGAUCCGGUGGUAUGUGAGUGGAAAUGCCAUCGCUCAACGGAUAAAAGCUACCCUGGGGAUAACAGGCUGAUCUCCCCCAAGAGUCCACAUCGACGGGGAGGUUUGGCACCUCGAUGUCGGCUCAUCGCAUCCUGGGGCUGAAUUCGGUCCCAAGGGUUUGGCUGUUCGCCAAUUAAAGCGGUACGCGAGCUGGGUUCAGAACGUCGUGAGACAGUUCGGUCCCUAUCUGUCGUGGGCGCAGGAUAUUUGAAAGGCGCUGUCCCUAGUACGAGAGGACCGGGAUGGACGAACCUCUGGUGCACCAGUUGUCACGCCAGUGGCACAGCUGGGCAGCUAUGUUCGGAUCGGAUAAACGCUGAAAGCAUCUAAGCGUGAAGCCGGCCUUAAGAUAAGAUAUCCCACUGAGUCAAUCAGGUAAGACCCCUUGA